AGAGUUUGAUCAUGGCUCAGAACGAACGCUGGCGGCGUGCUUAACACAUGCAAGUCGAGUGCGCGUUCCGGUAGCAAUACCGGGAUGGCGCACGGCGCACGGGUGCGUAACACGUGGGUACAUGCCUUUUGGUGGGGAAUAACUCCGCGAAAGCGGAGCUAAUUCCGCAUAAGAUCCGCAAGGAUGAAAGCCGCGAGGCG
rnacentral:rRNA from 1 species